CAUUGACACACCAGUUCUCAUCUGAUCACUGAAGUUAAGAAACAUUGACCCAAGUCAGUACUCAGAUAGGUGACUGCUGGUGAAUACCAGGUGUUGCAAG